rnacentral:rRNA from 1 species
AUACGUAGGUGACAAGCGUUAUCCGGAUUUACUGGGCGUAAAGGGCGUGUAGGCGGUCUUGCAAGUCAGAAGUGAAAUUCCUGAGCUCAACUCGGGCGCUGCUUCUGAAACUGCAGGACUUGAGUGCUGGAGGGGAUAGCGGAAUUCCCGGUGUAGCGGUGAAAUGCGUAGAGAUUGGGAGGAACACCAGUGGCGAAGGCGACUUACUGGACUGUAACUGACGCUGAGGCGCGAAAGUGUGGGGAGCAAACAGGAUUAGAUACCCUGGUAGUCCACACUGUAAACGAUGAAUGCUAGGUGUAGGGGGUAUCGACUCCUUCCGUGCCGGAGUUAACACAAUAAGUAAUCCACCUGGGGAGUACGGCCGCAAGGUUGAAACUCAAAGGAAUUGACGGGG